CGGAAACAUUGUUUUAUUAUUUUGUCACAUGGCUGAGAGAUUUCAAUAACAACAAAAAAUGGCGACAAUCACGUUGUUCGAUGUGGGUCUUGCUGCGUCAUUAAAACUAUUCACGUAAACACGGGAAUGAAAUGCGCCAAAUGCACCAGGUUAUUUUUCAAAUAAGUGUUGGCAAGUGCUCCUGCAAUUCUGUGAUAUCAAACAGAACCAGCAAAUCGAGUUGUUUACAUGAAGCGGAGGGAGAAGGAGAUAGGGAGGAGCCUCCUCAGGCGGGCUACGCGACUGGACUGCUGGAGAGCCUUCUUGCACUGAGGGCGGAGGCCCAAGAACCAUAACAAGUCCGACGUCAGCUAUUUGGUGUCCAUAAAUUAUGCAGUUCAAACACUAGUAAGUCAACAGUGGUGACUUCGACCAAGGUUUUAUUCCUUUAGGCUACAUGUAUCUGUUGUAUAGAAAAUGAUCUUUCAAAGAGGUUUAGAAAAAGCUGAUAUGCUACAGUAGUUACACAUGUAUUGGUAGGUAUUACAUUCAUAUGAGGUGAGAAAGAAACAUCUUACUAAUGGUAGUAAAAUACAUUUCUAGAAUUCUGUAAAGCCUGUGUGGAAUUCAUAGCACAUACACAUUUCAUGAUUAUAUCCUGUGAAUAAUUACAAAGCUUUGCAGGUUUUGGUUACCUAUUAGAGAAACGUAUUUACAUUACUUCUGCAUGCAAUUGUGUUCUCAUUCUUGUAAUGUGAUACCAUGAAAUACAUAAAUACAGACAUGAUAUUUGGAUUUUAUGUAUUCUCAACCAUCAUAGUCAUUUUGUUACUCCGAUGGCCUAUGCAUGACGUAAAUGCACUUUCUGCAAUGUCCAAAAACACCCCCACCUUCCCGACCCUAUACAGUGUCAUGUCAUUCUACGUCCCUCUUUUGGCACGAUUCCAUCUGCAAAAGAACAGUGUGACUGACAAGAUAUUAUUCUUGCUCUGGGCUCCAAGUCCUGUGUGUGUGUGUGUGUGUGUGUCUGUGUGCGUGCGUCGUAUCAUGUGUGAGUCUGGCAUCAUGAAGACGGAUGGCAUCUGACCCCUUGGACCACCGUGGCUGAUGUUGUGUUGUGCUGUGCUGGAACUCAGACUGACUGGGCUGCUGUCUCUUGGCUCCUUAACAUGACAUCCAGGCUGCCCUGGUUCAGUUAUCACUGUGCUGAUGCUGUCCAUCUUAAAGGUACAGUACUGUGAUAACUGAAGGAUGGCUGCCACCUUGACACACCCGACCCACUUUGUGAUGAUGGAUGGAUGGAUGGAUGGAGGGAGAUGGUACUGCUGUGAGGUUUGUCAUUGAUAGCACUUGUGCUCCCAACUUUAAGAAGUUAGGAGAACAACAUAAAACUUAGGAGCACCAGAAAAUACGAUUUUUCAACUUGAUUGAGAUAUAGCCUAUAUUGGGCCUACUUGAAUUCUAGCUACUGAAGCACAUGCUGUGCUCUAGAAACGAAUAUGUAACCGUGUAAAGACAGUUUAUUAUAAAAAGCUAUAAAUGGUUAUACAAAUACCUGUUAUUGAAAUUACAAAGUUAUUUGUAGAAUAAUAGGUUUCUACACUGUGUAAAAGCACUUUUCAAACCAGCAUACUGCGGUGCAAUAUCACAUGCACCCCUGCCAAUAAAGAUUAGGAUGGGUCAAUUUGUUUUGUAAAUUCUCAAAUUGAAAUAAAAAAUAAAGUUGGUUCUGGGAGUAUUCUAAGGGUGAUUAUUAGGAUGCAUAAACAUGAUUAGUGCUUUCCCCCCACAAUUCUGGCCUUCAAAUUGGCAUAAAUAAGGAGGAUAGCUUAGCCGGCGGCAGGUAGCGCAGCGGUUAAGGCUGUUGGGCCAGUAACUGAAAGGUCAUUUGUUCAAAUCCUUGAGCUGACUAGGUGAAAAAUCUGUAGAUGUCUCCUUGAAAAAGGCACUUAAACCUAGUUGCUCUUGGCAAAGAGUGUCUGCUAAAUAAUGUAAAUGAUAGGUUACUGCUGUUGGCCAGAGUCUGGAAUAUUCUGAUUGGGGAGAGAAAGAGGCUUGGUUGAAACCUACUGCCUUUAAUAAAAACAGCUCCUUCUCUAAUUCUCUAGACUACUAGAUAUUUAAGGUUUGAAAAAAUAUUGUUUUCCAUAUUCUUAUUCGUGCUUAUAUUUGAAUGUACUAUAUUAUUUGUUCCAAGUUAGCUCACAGAUUUGAGGGUUUGUUAUUGUGCGUAUCCCCGUUCUCCCUACUACAAGCCUUGCUCAACUUGUUUUACCGUCACAAACCACCGCCUCUAAAGCCAGGCCACUACAAGCCUUGCUCAACUUGUUUUACAGUCACAAACCACAGCCUCUAAAGUCCGGGCCAAACCAAAAUAGUAAUUGGCGGCGGGGGUGUUCCAAUCAUAACAUGAGGAUUCUUGACUCACCUGUUCCCCGGGCAAAGUUACGCGCCUGACCAUAACGUUACCGAAUCUAAGCUCGUCUUUUUCUCUGGUCCACUCCGAAACAGCAUUACAGCGAAGGAUAAUUAUAACAACAAUUAUUAGCUGGGUGAUUUUUUUUACAAGGCAACAGUUUUUUUUUGUAAUUAAGGUUGCACAGCAAAAAUAUUUAGGAUCAUAUGCAACCAAAAUUGUCUCACAUUACAAUGUUGUGUCUGAUUUUCAAUUGUAAUACUUUAUAAUGAUUCACAUUGCCCUGUGAGUGUAGCCUGUGUUUUUCCCAUUUUAUUUGAAUAGAAUUGUUAUUUUAUGUAGAAAGAAUGAUGUAUUACGUAAUAAGUUGAAGGUGAACAAACGUGUUUGUAGCAUUUGAAUCAUUCAUGUUUUUAAGAAAAUGCAAAUAAAUCGGAAAGAAACUG